ACAAUAUUCGGACCGUCGGUCCACCGAACAAUUACCUGCUCGGUUGAAGAUCUUCCCUUUCGUCGU
rnacentral:pre_miRNA from 1 species